CCUACGGGUGACAGCAGUGGGGAAUAUUGCACAAUGGGGGAAACCCUGAUGCAGCGACGCCGCGUGAGUGAAGAAGUCAUUCGUUAUGUUAAGCUCUAUCAGCAGGGAAGUAAAUGACGGUACCUGAGUAAGAAGCCCCGGCUAACUACGUGCCAGCAGCCGCGGUAAUACGGCGGGGGCAAGCGUUAUCCGGAUUUACUGGGUGUAAAGGGAGCGUAGACGGCAGUGCAAGUCAGGAGUGAAAGGCGGGGGCUCAACCCCCGGACUGCCCUUGAAACUGUACGGCUGGAGUGCAGGAGAGGUAGGUGGAAUUCCUAGUGUAGCGGUGAAAUGCGUAGAUAUUAGAAGGAACACCAGUGGCGAAGGCAGCUUACUGAACUGUAACUGACGUUGAGGCUCGAAAGCGUGGGGAGCAAACAGGAUUAGAUACCCUAGUAGUC
rnacentral:rRNA from 1 species